UCGUCUCCUCCAAAUUGUGAUCCAACCCCAUCACCCCCCGAGGAUGGUAGUUACACUCCAACCCCGUCAACUCCCGAUCUAUCACCACCAUCAGGUGGUGGUGGAAGUUACACCCCAACACCAACAACUCCCGACUCUUCACCACCAUCUGGCGGUGGAAGUUACACUCCAACCCCGUCAACUCCCGACACAUCACCGCCAUCAGAUGGUAGUGGAAGUUACACCCCGACACCAACAACUCCCGACCCUUCACCACCAUCUGGUGGUGGAAGUUACACUCCAACCCCAACAACUCCCGACACUUCACCCCCAUCAGAUGGUAGUGGAAGUUACACCCCAACACCAACAACUCCCGACCCUUCACCACCAUCUGGUGGUGGAAGUUACACUCCAACCCCAACAACUCCCGACCCUUCACCACCAUCAGAUGGUAGUGGAAGUUACACCCCAACCCCAUCAACUCCCGACACAUCACCGCCAUCUGGAGGUGGAAGUUACACGCCAACCCCAUCAACUCCCGACACAUCACCACCAUCAGAUGGUAGUGGAAGUUAUACCCCAACACCAACAACUCCAUCAACACCCCCAACUAGCGACUGUGGAUCACCGCCACCAGUUGACUCUACAAGCCCAACAACACCAUCAAACCCUCCCUCCGGAGGUUACUACACAUCACCACCAUCAGAUCCUAUAACCCCAACAACACCGUCAAACCCUCCCUCCGGAGGUUACUACACCUCACCACCAUCAGACCCUAUAACCCCAACAACACAGGUUACUACACAUCACCACCAUCAGAUCCUAUAACCCCAACAACACCGUCAAACCCUCCCUCCGGAGGUUACUACACCUCACCACCAUCAGACCCUAUAACCCCAACAACACCGUCAAACCCUCCCUCCGGAGGUUACUACACCUCACCACCAUCAGACCCUAUAACCCCAACAACACCAUCAAACCCUCCCUCAGGAGGUUACUACACUUCACCACCAACUUAUGCAGAUGGUAGCCCCCCAACACCAACCAGUUACAGCCCACCAACUUAUGGCGGAAGCACCCCGACCGAUCCUAGCACCCCCACUUACUCCACACCACCUUACCUUCCUGCACCAUCUCC
rnacentral:lncRNA from 1 species